rnacentral:lncRNA from 1 species
AUUAAAUCAAACUCCAGUGCUGAUUUCAGAAUUGGACCCCAAAACCUAGCCUCUAGAAAACUCUGUUCAGUUCGAGUUAAUGUACUUCAAGGUCAAGAAACGCAUCAAUAUGACAAAAACCAAAAUAAAAUACAAAUAUGCUUUACCCAUGCUUUACGAGGCUCUAAUACUAGAUUUGUUGGAUUUUAUCACUCAAUCGAGAUAAUAUACAGAAAAUGAACCACAAAUAGUCAAAAAAAUAGUAAAAUACAACACAAGAAAUGGUCACCCAGUUCGGCAAAAGCCUACUCUGGGGAGCUCAGAGGUAAGAGCUUCUCACUAUGUACAAGAACCUCGCAAAAGAGAAUUUAAGUUUAGAGUACAACAAUCAGCUCACCUACUCAGCCAACAGAUCAUCGAUCCAUAAAAGAUUUCACAAAAACUACUCCUAAUCGACACAGGUGUAGUAAGUUCUUUACAGUUCACAACCAACCAAAAAGGCUGCCCCAAAAACCUCCUGUCAAGAAUGCUAGACACAAGCCGAGUAUAACUUGAAAUCACCAUAGACCACAGGCCACAUAUCAAAGGCCAAGAUCUAAUUUACAGCCAAAAAAAAGAAAUUCCAUAUCUAAAAUUGAGAAAUCAGAUUUACAAUGAGAGAGAGAAUCGCCGGAGAGAUGGAACCAAAAGCCAAAAAUGAAAGAAUGAAUCCUUCAAAACGCGCUAGCCCAAGAGUCAAGGGAUUUCAAUUGAUCCACAACCAUUGAUCUUCAUUA